UCUCUCUCUCUCUCUCGACUUUUCUUCUUCCACUCUCUCCUUCUCUCUCGCGCUGCGUCCUCUCACGGUCACCUUCUUCUUACAUUCUUCUUCUUGUUCUGUUUCUUUUCCUUAAUCUCAUAUCACAAUACCAUACUUUUUUCUUUUAUGGAUUUCUGUUAGAGUUGUAACUGAUCAUCCCGACAGGGAAGAAGUGAUAGAAAGAGCUCUGGACAUCGUCAAGAGCUUCACCAAGGUUGAUCCUUAAUCUCAUCUCAAAAUACCCUAAUUUUUUCUUUUAUGGAUUUCUGUUAGAGUUGUAACUGACCACCCCGACGGGGAAGAAGUGAUGGAAAGAGUUCUGGACGUGGUCAAGAGCUUCACCAAGGUUGAUCCUUCCAAGUAAUGUUGACACGGGAACAUAGUUCAUCAAAUCAUCUGUUACUGGAAGAUCCUGUAGUUGAGGUUGAUGAUGGGGAAGGAGAAAUUUCUGGUAGGAUACUGUACGAAGGCUCCUUCGAGGAACUUGCAGGAAGCCACUUGCAAUAUGACACAGUUAUAUGGUUCUUCAUAUCCUUACAGCCUCGAAUUUCAUGUCUCGGAGUAUAUUUUAUGUGAAAUCAAUCUUGUUCCCUCUCACUCUUCCGUUUCUUCUUCAAGCUUUUAAUAUCGUUAAUUGCUUUACAAUUUUUAUGACACAUAGAAUUUCGAUAAUUAUGAAGUAUUUAGCUGAGUAUCUUAUUUUUCUUUGCACCAUUUGUGGUGUUAAUUUAUAUUUUUGUAAUAAUUGGUAGCUUCAAUUUUUUCUUAUUUCCUGUAUUAAUUGGAAGCUGCAAUUUUCUUUUUUGCAGUUUUGUGGCCAAUAUUGGGUUUUGGUCUGAAUUACCUGGAACUAUUGGGCAUUGAUCAAGAUUCAGGUUUGCAAAUGUAGCAAUUAGACUAAAAUUUGUUGUGUAUAUCGUGGCUUCAGCUCUGGUAUGAAAAUUACGUAAAGAUAGAUAUUGUUCCAUAUUAACACCAAAAUAGUUCAUCACAAAGAAUAUUAAAAUAGACAAAUUAAUUUUGGAAAUGAAUUGGGUUCUAACAUAAAAGCCUAAUCAAUAAUGUUGGUGUCAUUGGAAGCUGCAGUGUAUGUGGUGAUAGUGGCUUAUUGUUGGCAAUGAUUGUUUUUAGGAAUGGGGAAGGAAGACAAGAAAAAGAAAAGAAAAGAAAGUGCAACUUAAAAAAGUGAAAAGGAAAAGACAGAGAAAGCUUUAUUUUUCUUGAAUAGUUCCAUAAGAUUUUACAUGAUGAUAUGAAUUCUCAUGGAUUGCAGCCCAAAAUUGUUUUGAGUGCAAUCAAGCAGAAACAUAUGAAAUAGGACGGAAUCCAGACUAUGAAUCUUUCUAGAGAGAACGACGAGGAAUUGCUGGAAUGUCCGUACUACUGUAUUUUCAAGAUAGAACCAUGGAAUUAAUAUUACAAGAGCUGGUUCUGGUGUUCCAUUUCAAAGGCUUUAUUCUAAUUGUGGUUGAUAAAAAAAAAAUUUUAUCCGGAAAAACAGGAAAUGAUGUUGUCAGAGCUCUUUUUUAGUAUUACAUUCACAGAGUUUCUAUAAUGGCAAUUAACUUAACUUGAUAUUCAUCUUUCUCAGUUAGUUGGAAAUGAUAUCACUUCCCAAGAGAUGAAUUUUAGAAAAAUGCUAGGUUUUCCUUACAAGAGUUGAGGUUUUCCCAUCAGGAGGCAAGGGAAAGAUUAGCUACGAAGCAUGAGGGAGCAUGUAGGGUAUUAUGUUCUCCAUCUUUGAUGCUAGAAUUUAAAUUUUUAUGUUAUUGGCCAUGGUAAUCUUGUAGAAAUUUAUUUUUGGGAUUUUCUGGCUUUUUGAUGAGCAGCAAUAUGUUAACUUCAGAGUUGAAAGUGUUGUGGGUUGGAAUUCUGUCAUCAAGAAUUCCAAAUAAAUUUAACUUGCAUUUUGGCUAUGUAGUGCACAACUGCAGAUUCCCAUUAAGCUUUUUUAAGUACAUAUUUGGAGUUGUGAUCCUUCGGUUUGAGGUAUAUAGGGAGAAAAACAAAGCAGCCACAGAAAAUAGGGGAGUGCAUGUUCCUGAUUCAUGAAUAUCAUCCAAAGGAUAUAGGCAACCUUUUUAGCUACGCUGGGUAUGUGUCAUUCUCACUGCACCGUUAUUAGUAGAUAGUAGGGAUUUAAGGCAUUUGGUGGUUGGUUUUGUUGAGAAUGCAUGAGAUGGAGAAGCUUCCCUACAUGUAUAAUCAUGAACUGACAUUUUACAUUUGGUUAUAGAGUUUACUUUUUAAAUAUAGGUUUCUUACUUCCCUGCACAUUUUUAGUGUAGCAGAAUCACAUGAUAGGGAUAUUAAUCAAGAUUUGGAGAAAUCUGAGGGAUAAAAACAGAAUAACUAUAGAACUGACCCAAACUCUAAUUGAUAGUGCUAUUCCACCAAAAGAUUCAGCCUGCUGAUUGGCAGAGUCCUAGAGCUACUAGGAGUGGGAGUAGUAGUCCAGAACUAUACCCAUCUAUCAGAAGAUUCCAGAUCCGAUAACAGGAUAUUAGAGAACAAUAAAAUGGAGAUUGAUGUAUGAAAUUUGAAAUAAAUCAUAUCAGCAUAUGGGAUCAAACAGAAACAGAACCAGAAAAGCAAAUUUAAAAUAAUUUUAUCAUAUCAGAGGAGUAGGUGAUUGUGAACACAAACGUGCUAAGGUUUUUUAUUGUGAGAAUUUGAAUUGUUCAGUAAUAAAAUGCAAUGCUGUGUUGUCUUCUACAAAUAUCACACCAUACUCCAUUUUAAGCAACUGAAACAUCAUUGAGCAAAGACUACCUCAACCAAUAAGUAACAAACUACCAAGAAGAACCAGGAGGUUUAAAUAACAAUAUAUUGAAAAUAUGCUUUAUAGGCACAAACAUUAAAAGAAGAUAUUUAUAACACCAUAACAGCAAGAAAAUUGCACCAGGGGAAGAAUAAAAGCAUAAUACAGAAAAAAGAAACCCGACCUCGUUCAAUUUUCUUGUUGCAGUCGAAAUAAUCUUCUAUAAUUCCGAAUGGAAUACAAGAGACCAUAAAUCUCGAGUGUUGAUAUCUGUCAGUAAUGCAUGCCCUCUAAUAAUGUUUUUCUCAGCUUCAACAGAAUACCAAUAUAUGUUUGGAAGUUCACUUUGAAAGAUUUUAAAGGCCUCAAAUGUUCAGGGAUAUAAAUGUGGAAGCCCAGCUGCAUCUAUAAACAGGUGAAGCCUCUGCUCUGUUGAAUCUGUAAAUGGCAGUGGGAUAACCUGAGCUAUGGAAUGAGCAAGGCUCAAAGAAUUUAGCUCUUUCCCAGUAUACGAAUCAACAAAUGAGAGAACACCCCAAGCAUCGGAACCAAGCCCACAUCUCCCGACAACAAGAAUGGACACUAAAGUAAUGCAGCAUGAACAAAAACUGAAGUGUCUCAACCGAAUAGAACACCAAGAGGGAUGUGUCCCAUCAAUCUCAUGAUACAGCUUUGAGUGCCCCAACAAAAUAGAACACUGAAGAAGCCCAGUAGGAGCAAAAACUGAAGUGUCUCAACCGAAUGGAACACCAAGAGAGAAGUGUCCCAAGGAUAGGAGGCAAAAAAAAGGGUUCAAAAACAAAGGGAACAAGAAGAAGAGGUACAAACAAUUCUACAGCACAACCAAUAUACAUAGCUAAGGGGAGACUAAUCAACAAGCUCUUCAAAGUGUCCUAACAUCAAUAGGUCAGGCCCAACUCCAUUACUCUUUAGAAACAUUAAAUACUCAAAUAUCUUUUCCACAGUCGUUGUCUUCUCAUCCAUUCCAUCAAUAUCUUCUCUAUCAUCACCUUCUCCUUUACCAUCUCCAUCUCUCUCUCUCUAUAAAAGCUUAAGCAGAGGAAAACAGGAGGAAUAGAAGCUAGCUCCAAGGCUAAGGUGAUUCAGAGAUAAUUUCAAAGAAGAGCAAAGAUAAGUAAUCUUUAGUUUCUUUGAAGCUUAAUUAUAGUUCUGUUUCAUGUGGGGUGGCAUGUGUAGUCCUCACAGGUGUGGUGUUAUAACCUGUUGAUAUGUUAAACAAAAGAGAACAAAAGCCUUUAAUGUUUCUGUCCUCCAUGCAUAGGAAAAGAGGUUGUCUUCUAAAGUGGGUAUUUCAGAAGAUCCGAUCUCAGGAGUGGAUUGGGUUAGGUCCAGUUCCAUUGAGUUUAUGACCCAUUACCAAAACAUUAGGCUCUAUAAUAUGUUUAGUGGGCCAACCCAAGUAAAGCCCAUGCAGGAUUAGAAUUUGCCACUUCUACUUCAAAUGGAGGAUACUAGGAUUUUAUAGAUAUUAAUCAUUUUUUUAAGAGAUUGCCUCCUUAAAAUGAGCUUUUUCCAUUUAGAACUGGAGUGACUUGUGGAUGCUUCGUGCUUGGACUCUUUUACCUUGUUUAAUUGAAGUUUUUUCAGUAUCAUGGAAACCCACUAGCAUGAAAGCUUCUGGAAUGGACACUUCUAAGUUUGAAGCAGAUGGACUAUAAUAUUAGGCAUAUAACCUUGGUUAUUUGAAUUAAUUUGUCAGGUUGGAUGGAGUUGGGUUGGGUGAGGGCUUAGGUUUUGUUGGACUAGGCUAUGUUGCCCAACUUGGCCCAACCUAGCCCACAUGUACCCUACAUUUAACAGGUACUAUAAGGAAGCUAGCCAUUUGAUGUUACUAAAACCAAUGCCUCACGGCUCAGAUGGUUAUUAUUUAAUAUUGUCUUCCUUUCUUCUCUCUCUCUCUUCCUCUUCCAGUUUCAUUUUUUUUUUUUAAACAAAAAGGCCCAUAUAGAAAAUAUUACAAAUCAAUUUCAUAUUAAUUUAUAUAUUCUUUAUUAAUAUCUUUUCUUGAUUAUUACAUCUUUAUAUGAAAUUUAAAAUUAAAAAUAGGGCUUAGUUGUUUUCAGCCAAAAGGUGCUCUCCUCCCCAAUUUAUGUGAUGAUCCAGCUUGAAACUUACAAUGUAUAUUGUUUAUAUAUCUUUUCAUUUAUAACUCCAUUCAGGUGAAAAUAAGAAUAUGGAGAAUGGGAUCAGGGAAAGACUACUUGACUGAAAUAUGAAAGAUGAAGGUAACCAAAAGAGCAGGACAUGGGAUGAAGUAAAGAAGCUAUUAGGGAUAUAUACUGGCUUAUUGAUGUGUGAUUGGUUGGGUCUGAAUCAUCAAAUUCUUUAUCAUUUAAGAUGAUUUUUAUUGUCAUUCGUCAGCUCUUUUGAUUUCCCUGUUGCAGAUGGGUAAUGGUUUUGGAGUUAUUUUUUUGUACUUUAUGGUACACAACCAGUUCUUAUUUGAUUUCUUGGUAAUCAAACACUAUUAUAGUCUCA